rnacentral:lncRNA from 1 species
UUUUUUGAAAGGUAAAUCUUAUUCAAUAAAAUAGUAUCAACAUGAUAUACCCUUAACCCUACAAGGAGGAAAUCCAUAAGUUCUGGGGUAUCUAUAAAUAUUAGAAGUUGCAUUCUUUUGCUCCAACAAUACAAUUUUUGAAUGCAUCUAAAUUUAACAUUAAGAAGUACGCUCCUUAGCCUCCUCAAGGAUCCUACUAUUCCUUUCUACUCAGAUAGUCCAUAAAAUGCACACUUGUCUGCACCUUUUUCAUUGUUUUCUGUCCAUAGCAACAAUAUAAUAGUUGCUCCAACCUCGGUAUCACCCAAUAUACUCCAUAGCUGUUUGACACAUACCAUAUCUGCCAAGCCACAUUGAAGUGAAUGAAGAGAUACAUGUUCCAUAUCUGCCAAUCAAUGUACAGUAACUUAAACCACAAAAAGAAAGGUAGCAAUCACAUCACGCUAAAACAAAAUAAAUUUGAUGCUCUGGAAAAGACAAUCUAUCCAACAAUAACCCAUUUCAAAUCUCACUUUAAAGGUCGAUCUGUAUCUAUUUAUGUGGGAGUUAAAGGCACCAGCAAUAAAUCAAAAUGCUAGAAAGCACAUUACGUUAAAAAAUAAUUAAAAAAUUUGACUUGCUUGAGAGGUCUCAACUCUAGGAGAAUGCUCUUGAAAUCUUCAUGACCGAGGUAACUGUAUUGAAAGUUUUGUUAUUAACAACAUUAUUAAGGGAAGUACGGACAAUAUCUCUUCUUUUUUUAAUUUCUUCUGUGCCACAAAAAAACUCAAUAUCUGCAAACAGAGUAUAAAUUGGAAAUUUGAUUCCCAUCAAAGAAAGUACAAUUUGGAGAUGAAACUACAAUUUGAAAGAAGAAAAUGUAAUUGAGUUACUAUUAUUGAGAGGUGUCUUGCUCCGGAAAGAUAAAACUCACAUCAUAGUGAAAUACUAUUGUAUUUCAGAAAUAUAAUGGAGUGUUCGUGGUAGAUGUAGAAUAACAUAUAAUUUCUUACCCCCCAUUAGAGAAGCUAGCUACAAAAGAGAAGCUCCGUUUAUGUUGCUACAUAAGUGACUUAGAAAAAGAUAGAAGGGGAACGUUCAAGCUUCCCAGGGGUGUUUCCUUGUUAUGAAAUCAAUCUAUCUAAGCAAAAUCAACUUAUUUGCACAUUAAAUUUUUGUACUACUGCUCCUAGUCCCAUUUCUAAGGGUUAAAGAACUAUUUCUCUAUAUUGUCUUGAUAGCGGAGUUGACUAUGCAUAUCUCAUAUAUUGAAAUUAAUCCGAUUUUCAUGACUCAACCAAGAAAACCUUGAGUCAUCAACAAAAAGAACCUGAGUCAAGUGUUCAGCCGUGUUUUAUAAUCCCUAUGUCAUAUGCCCAUAGAUAAAACAACGCUAAAUCUUAAUAAUAGUAAACUGUUCUUUAUCCGAAAAAGAGAAGAUAAUAAUAAGUAUUUAUAAAUAUUACGAACAUUAUCCAUAAAGAAAGGGAAAUUGUACGAAAAGCACUCCAUAUUAUAUUCGAGCUAGGUAGCCUUAGGUAGGAACGGUCGUGGAACCAGAACUGCGAAAUACCAAAACAGAGAAUAGAAAGGAUGGAAAGAAAUCAAAGGAAAGGUGUAUGGUCUUAAGAUAUGGAAAAUAUGGAUAGGAAGAAGUAAAACAUCAAAUUUCUUCCGCCGAUCAACUUUAAUUUCUAGUAGGCAUAUGCAGCACAUUAGAGAAAAAGAGUGCAUGACCUUGUUGGAAUGAAUUUAAAUACUUCUUACGUAAUGAAACCUUCUCGGAUCUUGUUGAAUCUCUUAUUUUAUUUAAUACUAACUGGAUUUAGGUACUCGUACGUGUAGCAUUAGUUUCUUUCACGAUGUAUUGAUCUCCAUUCAAAUAAUUGUAAAUGCCUACACAUAAAAAAUCAUAAGGAAAUUAGAAAAUGACGUCAAGAAGAAUGGGGGAGAAACACUCAAUUUGAAGGAAAAAAAAAUCAGAAAAAUUUAAAAAAUAAAUUCCAUGGGAAGGGAAACAGAGAGAGAACCGAAGGAGAAUAAAAGGCGGCGGAGGGAUACUUUGAAGCUGCCCAUGAAGAUGACAUUGGUGAAGACAGCGGGAGAAGGCCAAUAGAGCAAAGAAGAAGAAUCAAAAGUGAAAAUCAAAGGCAUGCAACAUGACUAUAACCACAUACCAAACAGAGCAGCAAGGAUUAAAUGAAAUAUCAAAGAGAAAAUCAACAGUAAGAGACUUCAAAAUCAAAAAGACAAAAAAAAAAAAUAGUGUGGGCUAACCUCAUCGGAAAGUGAUCCGACUAUGUAGAGCAAAGAAGAGAGAAAAUAUUCUGUAAGAAAGGGACAGAAAANN